GACGAACGCUGGCGGCGUGCUUAACACAUGCAAGUCGAACGGAAAGGCCCUGCUUUUGUGGGGUGCUCGAGUGGCGAACGGGUGAGUAACACGUGAGUAACCUGCCCUUGACUUUGGGAUAACUUCAGGAAACUGGGGCUAAUACCGGAUAGGAGCUCCUGCUGCAUGGUGGGGGUUGGAAAGUUUCGGCGGUUGGGGAUGGACUCGCGGCUUAUCAGCUUGUUGGUGGGGUAGUGGCUUACCAAGGCUUUGACGGGUAGCCGGCCUGAGAGGGUGACCGGCCACAUUGGGAAGGAGAUACGGCCCAGACUCCUACGGGAGGCAGCAGUGGGGAAUAUUGCACAAGGGGCGGAAGCCUGAUGCAGCAACGCCGCGUGCGGGAUGACGGCCUUCGGGUUGUAAACCGCUUUCGCCUGUGACGAAGCGUGAGUGACGGUAAUGGGUAAAGAAGCACCGGCUAACUACGUG
rnacentral:rRNA from 1 species